UACAUAGGAUGCAAGCGUUAUCCGGAUUUACUGGGCGUAAAGCGAGCGCAGGCGGAUUUACAAGUCUGGUGUUAAAUAUAGCUGCCCAACAGUUAUAUGCAUUGGAAACUGUAAGUCUAGAGUGCAGUAGAGAGUUUUGGAACUCCAUGUGGAGCGGUGGAAUGCGUAGAUAUAUGGAAGAACACCAGAGGCGAAGGCGAAAACUUAGGCUGUUACUGACGCUUAGGCUCGAAAGUGUGGGGAGCAAAUAGG
rnacentral:rRNA from 1 species